GACGAACGCUGGCGGCGUGCUUAACACAUGCAAGUCGAACGAGUGGCGAACGGGUGAGUAAUACGUGAGUAACCUGCCCUCUUUUUGGGAUAAGCCUUGAAAACGGGGUCUAAUACCGGAUAAAGGGGGAUGGGCUCGCGGCCUAUCAGCUUGUUGGUGGGGUGAUGACCUACCAAGGCGGUGACGGGUAGCCGGCCUGAGAGGGUGGCCGGGCACAUUGGGACUGAGAUACGGCCCAGACGCCUAAGGGAGGCAGCAGUGGGGGAUAUUGGAGAAUGGGCGAAAGACUGAUGCAGCGACGCCGAGUGGGGGAUGAAGGUUUUCGGGUUGUAAACCUCUUUCGCAAUGGAACGGGUAGGUGGAGAAGAAGCGCCGGCUAACUACGUGCCAGCCGCCGCGGUAAUUC
rnacentral:rRNA from 1 species